GCCUCCCGACAGGCCUGUGUGGCCGGUGGCGGGCGGGCCGUUACCUCCCGCGCAUGCUCUAUGGGGUAGAGACGCUAGGCCGGCACUGCCUAGGUGGGCCGGGCGGUGCGAGGGUCGCCUUUCAGCCUUUACCUCUACCCACUGAAAUGGAGUAGGUCGGUGAGCGCCGAUCUGCUGGAGAAUCUCAUUAUCCCAUCGGCGCUCUGCCUGCUCCUGGCCUCCAAGCCUCUGAAGCCCCUCGGGUUUCAGCUGCCGGCUACCCUCGAGCCCGUGGUGCCCACGAGAGAGGCGACUUUACGUCAGCGGCCCUGGGCUGAGAUUUGAGAACGCGACCAAGUGGAGAAUGUUGGAGCCAGAUUUUAAAAUCCUUGUCUUCCUUCUGCGUGCUACUUGAUCUAAAUGAGAUACGGCAAAGUCACAGAACCUGUUUUUAUGUUUUUGCCUGAUUCAUACGGGCUUCUCCGGUGAAGAUGGGCCUGAAGUAACGCUUGGGUUGCUUCUGACGUUAUAACUCAUCCUGUAGCUGCAGCAACCGUGGUCCUUGCAACCUCAUAAAAAUGUUGCCAGCAUUGUUUCGAUAGUGCUGCUUAAUUCUUGGAAGGUUCUUCGGACUUCACACAUUCCAGCAGUAGCUCUCUCAGCUCCUGUCCUGCACAGCUUUGAAGUGCUGAUGAAGAACUGCAACCUAGAGAAGAUGGAAAUGACUUCUUCAUUUUGUGUUUGCUCUCUCCAUGGGGGUUUUGAGGGGGAGCCCUGCCCUCGCAAACUGCCAGGUGUAUACUGGACACACCAGUCAUGAAUCUAGAUUCACUGGGAGGGAAGAAUGAUUACCAGUUUUUGCCAUCUUGAGGGUUAACCAACAGGACACAGCCCUGGUGAUGGCUUUCUGAGGAUGACACGAUGGAGGCUUCUCCAAUAGCUCUAAAACUGCGGUGUGGAAAACAUUCGGCAGCCUCAAAGAGCGGUCUUGUUGACCCCAACUAUAUCAUUUUUCAUCAAAAUCAUUCUUGUAAAGAAUGACCAGGCAACACUCUUUGAAAAUUGGAGGCCAUUUGCAGCUGCUCUCUGUUGAGGAAAGUGAAUAAUAGGGUGCCCUCAAGGAAUUGCAAAGGUAUCACUCAACAGAAACUUUCGUGUCUGAAGAAAACUAGAUCAUUUUAUCAUGGUAGGCAUGCUGAUAUGUUUGCUUUAAUAAAAUGCCAUAUUUCUGCCUUUAAUCUCUUGUCAACCCGCUAUUAAAAAGCCCCAAAGUGCAUGUGUGCAGCGCAUGUAAACACUUGUGGUUUUGAGGUUACCACAGAACAUACUAAUAAAGCAUGUAAUUUGUGUUUUGUGCA
ensembl:lncRNA HULC hepatocellular carcinoma up-regulated long non-coding RNA